rnacentral:rRNA from 1 species
UGGGUCCAACCUCCCACCCGUGUUUAUUUUACCUUGUUGCUUCGGCGGGCCCGCCUUAACUGGCCGCCGGGGGGCUUACGCCCCCGGGCCCGCGCCCGCCGAAGACACCCUCGAACUCUGUCUGAAGAUUGUAGUCUGAGUGAAAAUAUAAAUUAUUUAAAACUUUCAACAACGGAUCUCUUGGUUCCGGCAUCGAUGAAGAACGCAGCGAAAUGCGAUACGUAAUGUGAAUUGCAAAUUCAGUGAAUCAUCGAGUCUUUGAACGCACAUUGCGCCCCCUGGUAUUCCGGGGGGCAUGCCUGUCCGAGCGUCAUUUCUGCCCUCAAGCACGGCUUGUGUGUUGGGCCCCGUCCUCCGAUCCCGGGGGACGGGCCCGAAAGGCAGCGGCGGCACCGCGUCCGGUCCUCGAGCGUAUGGGGCUUUGUCACCCGCUCUGUAGGCCCGGCCGGCGCUUGCCGAUCAACCCAAAUUUUUAUCCAGGUUGACCUCGGAUCAGGUAGGGAUACCCGCUGAACUUAAGCAUAUC